ACCACUUCCACUUACCACUUCCACUUACCACUUCCACUUACCACUUCCACUUACCACUUCCACUUACCACUUCCACUUACCACUUCCACUUACCACUUCCACUUACCACUUCCAUUACUACCACGACUACCACUAACCAUCACCACUUUCAUCUCCAUUCUUGUCAUUAUUGGCUUGUUGUACGUUGUUCAAAUGUUUCAACGUAUGUACAUUUGUGACUACGAUUUCUUGUUAGCGAUAUAAACGAAGAGGAUAAAGACUUUGGAGUAAAUAAUUUUGGCCGUGCCACUAGCAUAAUGUAUUUGUGCGUCUAGGUAUCCUUAGCGUUGCAAGUGGAAAGUGGCUUCACACUAUAAAUGGUUGACACAGCUAAUACAUUAGACAUAAACUUUCUCAGCAUUCACGAACAGUAAAAAUACUAUUGGUAAAUGAUUCAUGGAUAUAUAGUAUUAGUAUUUGGCAUUCGUUUCGCUUAUGAAUUGNGGAUUGGAACCGAUAUCGUAUCAUCAUUAAAAGGUUUCCUGNACAUCUUCUACAUCAUUCAAACAUGNGGGAAAAAUCAUAAAUU
rnacentral:sRNA from 1 species